rnacentral:lncRNA from 1 species
GGAAAAUUCAUGUAAUUCCUGCUGAAGUUAAUGGGAUUUCUAUUAAUGAAAAUGAAAAUAGAAGUACCUUCUAAACAUCUUCAUAGUCAGAAUUACACAGCGUGGUUAAGAUCGGAAUGGACCUAUGGAAGUCAUCUAGUCCAAACUUUCUGCUCAAGUGAGGUCACAUAGAGUUAGCUGCCUAGCACUAGAAGGUUUUUGACAGCAUAUGUUUCAGCCACUGCUCAGACACCAUGAUGAUGUUCCCUUGGGUAUACUGCAUUCAUUCCAAUGAAUUUUUAGUUCUAUCCAUUUUCUUUUAUGUUUAUUUCUUGGUUUGUACUGUAUAGGUGCACCUUUUAAUAUAUAUGACAUAGAGGAAUAUCAAGCUUUUGACACAGCAAACCAAGACUGUGUUAACUUGUAGUUGAUUAUUUCAUUCAUAUUAAACUUUUUUUGGAUUUCAGGAGGAAGGCCUAUAUAGCCAGUGUGAAGUCUCUUUCCAAGGACUCAUGUGGAGAUUAACGUUGAAAUUAUACAGAAUUAAGAAAGAACAAGUGGAAAACACAAAACAAAGAAAGAAACCAGUCUUCAUUGUUUUGGUUAACUUCACAGAAGAUUACAGCCGGGAUGAGGACAUUUGUCCAGGAACUACUGUAAUAAGGCUACCAAUUAAUAGGGCACUGGACAGUUAUCAAAGAGUAGACAAUAUUAUUUAUGCUGACAUAACCUAUGUUGGAGCCAUGAACCUGAUGUGAAUUGCUUUUCAAUCUGUCAGUUCUCUCAGCCACCUUGUCAUCAUGUGCUGUCUCCUGCCUGCUUUCUGUUCAUUACCCAAAUUGAUAAGUGUCCAGGAGAACCUUUAAUUUACUUGCAAAUAUUUUUCUUCAUGUCUUGAAAUGAUGUGUUUACACUUACCUUUACUAAUGAGUCACUUCUGCUUUACUACAUUUUGAAUGGCUUUCCUUUACUUUAAUGUAAUUUAUCCUGUUCCUAUAUCCUGAAGUGUCAGGUACUGUUGAGAAAACUUGUAAGUGCAAUUGCUAAAAAUUGGCAUCUUUUGACUUUCCCAUAUGGCCCUCUAACUUUUACUUCUCCAGAUAUUUAAUUUUAGGGAAGAAAUAAACAAUUCUCCUUUCCAAAUAUUCUCA